GACAGAGGCCCCGAGCGUUAGGCGGAAUCACUGGGCUUAAAGCGUGUGUAGGCGGGCCCGUAAGUGUCUUGUGGAAAUCCCACGGCUCCAACCGUGGAACUGCUGGGCAUACUGCGGGUCUUGGGCCAACUAGGGGCAGCCGGAACAAGCGGUGGAGCGGUGAAAUGCGUAGAUAUCGCUUGGAACGCCAGAGGUGAAAACAGGCU
rnacentral:rRNA from 1 species